AACGAAAAGCUUUGACAUUAAGGAAAUGAAUGUACCAGAGGAGAAGCCUAACAAAGUUGUUGAUGAAGAAAAGAAAAUACCUGAAGAGAAGCCUGACAAAGUUGUUAAUGAAGAAAAGAAAAUACAUGAAGAAAAGCCUAAGAAAGCUGUUAAUGAAGUGAAGAAGUUACAAGAAGAUAAGCCUAGCAAAGUUGUCAAUGAAGUGAAGAAACUUAGCCAAUUUCAUAACAGAACUGCACCACUUUCUUCAACUCUGAAUAAGCUGCCACCCCCAGUUGUAAAGCGUUCUACUUCAGUUUACACAACUCCUACAAAAACC
rnacentral:lncRNA from 1 species